AGAUGGCGACCGGCGCACGGGUGAGUAACACGUAUCCAACCUGCCGAUAACUCGGGGAUAGCCUUUCGAAAGAAAGAUUAAUACCCGAUGGUAUAAUCAGACCGCAUGGUUUGACUAUUAAAGAAUUUCGGUUAUCGAUGGGGAUGCGUUCCAUUAGGCAGUUGGUGAGGUAACGGCUCACCAAACCGACGAUGGAUAGGGGUUCUGAGAGGAAGGUCCCCCACAUUGGUACUGAGACACGGACCAA
rnacentral:rRNA from 1 species